rnacentral:rRNA from 1 species
AGUGAACGCUGGCGGUAGGCCUAACACAUGCAAGUCGAACGGCAGCACAGUAAGAGCUUGCUCUUACGGGUGGCGAGUGGCGGACGGGUGAGGAAUACAUCGGAAUCUACUUUUUCGUGGGGGAUAACGUAGGGAAACUUACGCUAAUACCGCAUACGACCUACGGGUGAAAGCAGGGGAUCUUCGGACCUUGCGCGAUUGAAUGAGCCGAUGUCGGAUUAGCUAGUUGGCGGGGUAAAGGCCCACCAAGGCGACGAUCCGUAGCUGGUCUGAGAGGAUGAUCAGCCACACUGGAACUGAGACACGGUCCAGACUCCUACGGGAGGCAGCAGUGGGGAAUAUUGGACAAUGGGCGCAAGCCUGAUCCGGCCGUACCGCGUGGGUGAAGAAGGCCUUCGGGUUGUAAAGCCCUUUUGUUGGGAAAGAAAAGCAGCAGGUUAAUACCCCGCUGUUCUGACGGUACCCAAAGAAUAAGCACCGGCUAACUUCGUG